GUCAUCCUCUACCGCGCGCCGAUCUGGUUCGCAUUUGAUGCAUGGGCGUUUGUUAACCGCGUGAUUCUAGAGCCAGAGCAACAAUGUGUCUUUUCGAACUUUAACCGUGAUGAACGACCUCUUUCUGAUCUCUUUCGUGACUCUACCGCGUCAUUUUGAGUGAUGAUUUAACAUUGAAACUUGAAAGACGUCAACUGCGGGUACAAACGUGCGUACGAUGAUGCGUGUUCUGUGUGGUACGCACUUACCAAAUGGUUUGGUUUGUACCUCCUGAAUACUUCCUAGAACGUGCGGCGUUUAGGGAAUGAAAGGACUUUAGGUAGCAAGUAGAUAAAGUUCUAUUAAUUAAUACAAUUAAUUGAUGUUGUAGUAAUAUAAUUGAGUAUUACUAUUAUAAAUGGUGUACGCAAUGAAAAUGAAAUUGAA